UCUGUCACACUACAGUCCAGGUGCCGUGUGCAUUGGUUACUGCACUCUCUUGAGUCUCGUGAUACAGAAAACACACACAACACAUUAGGCACAGCAUGUUUAAUACUUGAAGAUAGUCAUCAAGGGAGAGAGGAAUCGUGGGAUCCGUUGUAAAUCUGUGUCCCAAGACUCAGGAAGCUGCCUGUGAAUUGAGGCGUGGAGUGUGUGAGCCUCAUUUGCAUCACAGAUGAGGAUUCUAAGGGAACAAGAGAGCAAACACCCUUCCUGAAGUCUGCACAACUAUUUCCAUCCAGUCAUCCUACGGGCUGUGAAAAACCAGACAUGAGCUCUUCAAACAAAUUCACUUCCUGCCUGGCAGAGGUUAACUUUUGUCAGGAUCAAGUGUCUACUCUUGUAGGGUGGAAAUUCUCCACUGUCAGACUCCUGCACUGAGGCCUCCAGCCCUGAGGUCCUGCCCAGCCGUGUCUCAGCAGUUCAUAGAGGAGCUUCUCCUGCGCUCACUUCUAGGAAACUUAUCCUCUGAGAAUCUUUUCCUGACACCAUGAGGCUGCAUUCCGGUAAUUUCCACCAUAGCAGAACCUCACAGACUGCUCUGCCAUUUUGUGCAUCAUUGCCACAGCCUCCCAUGCAACAUCCACAUUACCAUGUUAUUCUCUAAAAUAUGCAUUUGUGAUGAUUGUUAGAGUAUUUUAAGUUAGAAAAUUCGGUAUUUGUGAUAAGAAAUUAAUAUUGAAUAUUUUAAAAUAUAGCUGGGAUAAACAUUUAUGUCUAGACAUGUGCUUUUGCAAAUAACUUACACAUUUGCAUUAAACAGAGUCAGUACUUUCUUAUGCUUACUACCUUAUGGUCAGAAAAUCUGAUAUUUUGAAAUUCAAAAUGUAAGAUUCAAAAUGUAGGUUGGAUUUUCAUAGUUUAUUUCUUUUUAUUCACCAAAUAAGUGACAGAUUAACUGGUUUCAUGUCCAAAUACCAAUUCAUGAAAAUAUAUACUAGUUUAGCAAAGAUAUAUAGAUUUAUCAAAGAAAAUUACUUUUUAUAUCAUUCAAACAGGAAAUUAAACACAGAUUUUUUUCAAAGCUGUAGAAAUGAAAAAAAAAUCUGGGAGAAUAAAGAAAAAGGAGAGAAAGAAUGGGAAGGAGGUAUCAGGAGCAAAGAAGGGGGGAAGAUGAGAGAGAGAGAGAGAGAGAGAGAGAGAGAGAGAGAGAGAGCACUACUGCAGAGACACAUACACCAAGUAUGCUUUGUUCCUUGUGAUUCUCUUAUUCAGUCAGUUCUUUCACAACCCAUGGCCCAGGGCUGAGAACUAGAUUUUUGCUGUUAUGUUCAAAACCAGU